UUUAACCUGACCAAACUAAAAAGAUUUUCAAGGCAAUCUUGAGUAAGACGACUUGUCAAAAGGAACUUGUAUCCCAUUGAAAGCAACUCCUCUUGGAUACCAAGAACACUGUUUGUAGACAUUAUAAUCCCUGCUUGCACGGGUUUCCAGUCAUUUUUAUCUCCAAUUUUCAUGCUCUGUACUAAGUUGAUAAUAGACAUAAGAAAUAGUAGAGCUUCUUCAUAUUUAUCACAAUUCAAUCUGCUUAGUGCAACUGCAGGGUACCUGCUUGUCAUGAAAUCAAACCACCGGUUAAACACAUCCAGAAACCAAGCAGUAGAAAGAUAUUCGUUUCCUCUGCCUUCUUCUUUCACAAGGUAUUGAAGUCCAGAGCUCACUGACUUACUAAACAGAUGCGGUGCAUGUGAUACUUUCAUUUUCUCAAAAUGUGAUGGAGAAAUAGUGGCGUUAGUUAGCUUUGGUGCUAAUUUUAAAUCAUGAUGGUUCUCAAACUCUACUAGAUCUUUUACAGGUGUAAUGGACACAAAAUUACAGUUCAAGUUGUUUGCUUUAACAACAUCAUCAGGUGAGGAACAUCAGCGAGAAAAUAUAACCAUUUGGUUGGACUUUGAGGAUGUACUACUUUGCUAACAGUAUUGCAGUGUCUUCCAGUAAUGAGGCCAAAGCUUCUCCACAGUGCUCAGUUUGCAGAUCCCAUGUCACUAGUCACAGCUAUGACAUAGUUCCGUCAGUGGAGUUUCCUGUGAAAUGGUAUGCUACUGUCUGUUUCCACCGUGAUGACAGUCCUCCCAACAUAAACACAAGAGCAUGAGUGGCAGUACCACAAUGACCAGGCAAAAUCACAUUCCCAAGCAAUUGUCCACUACUUGCAUCAUACUCAAUACUAGGUGUAAUGGACAUUUCAUCUAAUGUGAGACAGCAGACUCUUUCCUCUUCACACAAAUCAUUUACCUUCACUGCUAAGUAUUCAAAAACUUGGUUGAGUAUGCCGGGCUCAAAUAGAACUGUUUCCAUCCGUCAUUGAAGAGUUCGAAGAGAUGGUAAAGGAAACUGCUGUUUUAAAAAUGACCACCGAAUUCCUCGCAUUCCUCGGGACAAUGCUAGCAGCUGAUCUUCAGCAAAAAGUUUUUUAAUCUUUGAUUCCUGACUUGCCAUUUGCUUAGUAAGUGCAUUAUUUCUUCUUGUAAUUUUAUGCAGUUUGGCUCUUGAAACUUGUAAUUUGGCUUUCAAUUUUACGACUUCUCUAGCUGUUGUAGAGGAAUCAAUUGAAAGGGUAUUAGAUUCAUCCACAUCUAUCUCUAGAUCUGCCACACUGGUUUCAUAUGCUACAGAGUCAUGUCGAGUUGUUUCAUCAUCAUUGGAAUUAUGUUCAGCUGUACAUUAAUCAAUUGAGGUAGAUUAGUUAACUUGCAUUAAUUGUACUUGGUUCUUCAUAGUAGUAAUUUAAACAAUUGAAAAAUGAAAAACAAUCCCAAGAUUGAAGAAACUUCUACUAAACUUUGAAAUUAUGUCUACAUGUGUGCCUGUUGUCAUUAUUGCGUGUGUGUUCUAUCAUGUGUAAUUUGCAGUUUUCUUUGUAGUUUUAUAAAUAUAGUACAGUUGAUUGAGAUGUUAUUAAUUAA